rnacentral:rRNA from 1 species
UACGGAGGGUGCAAGCGUUGUUCGGAAUCAUUGGGCGUAAAGCGCGUGUAGGCGGCUUGGCAAGUCGGUUGUGAAAGCCCGGGGCCCAACCCCGGAAUUGCAUCUGAAACUGCCUAGCUAGAGUCCCGGAGAGGAAGGCAGAAUUCCCGGUGUAGGGGUGAAAUGCGCAGAUAUCGGGAAGAACACCUAUGGCGAAGGCAGCUCUCUGGGACGGUACUGACGCUGAGGAGCGAAAGCCAGGGGAGCGAACGGG